GACGAACGCUGGCGGCGUGCUUAACACAUGCAAGUCGAACGGAAAGGCCCCCUUGUGGGGUACUCGAGUGGCGAACGGGUGAGUAACACGUGAGUAACCUACCCUUGACUUUGGGAUAACUUCAGGAAACUGGGGCUAAUACCGGAUAGGAGCUCCUGCUGCAUGGUGGGGGUUGGAAAGUUUCGGCGGUUGGGGAUGGACUCGCGGCUUAUCAGCUUGUUGGUGGGGUAGUGGCUCACCAAGGCUUUGACGGGUAGCCGGCCUGAGAGGGUGACCGGCCACAUUGGGACUGAGAUACGGCCCAGACUCCUACGGGAGGCGGCAGUGGGGAAUAUUGCACAAUGGGCGGAAGCCUGAUGCAGCAACGCCGCGUGCGGGAUGACGGCCUUCGGGUUGUAAACCGCUUUCGCCUGUGACGAAGCGUGAGUGACGGUAAUGGGUAAAGAAGCACCGGCUAACUACGUG
rnacentral:rRNA from 1 species